rnacentral:lncRNA from 1 species
UUUGAAUCAUACAGAGGUAUCCUGACCCCAUAGAAGUGAUCCAGUCUAGUUACGUGUUGCCACGUGUCGGUCAUCUGUCCCUGAUGAUGCCAAAAUAUUAAUUCUCCAAUGGCUAGAAUUCGAACCCAGGUGGCGGUACUCACAGCUGUAAGCCAUUUACCACUCACAGCUAGAAAUUCUCGAUUCUUGACCUAUUCGAUUCUCAAAUCUUGUUUUCUUUCAGCCACAUGGUCCUCAAUUCUUGUAAUCUUAUUACCAUGAAAUGGUGGUUGUUUUCAGCCACUGGGUUCAUGGUCCUCUUACGUAAAACCUUUUCUUAUUCUUCAAUGCCACAAUGGGGUCUUAUAUCGAGUUUAUUUGUUACGGUUCCUUACUUCUUUACACAGCCACU